GCAUUGUGUGGUAUAAUGGUAUAAUCGCUUGGGUAUCCAGUGCAAGUAGGCGAAGUUAAAUUUUAAUUCAGUGAUACUGCGAGAGAUGCUGGUUCAAGUCCAGCCACAAUGCC
rnacentral:tRNA from 1 species